UCAAGUGUUUCAUUAGUAUCAACCAGCUUUCCAGUUUUCCAGCUUUAUAUAAAGCUGUUAGAGGGACCUUUGACCACUUCAAAACUUUCAAAACCAAAAAGAUCGGUUCAUUACUUUUUACCUUUUUAUUUUUUUUUGUAUUUCUUUUGUUUGUUUGUAUAUAUAUAUAUUUUUUUACAGGCAUACAGAAUUGAUUAUGUACAUUACAUUCCCUCCACCGUACUCUUUUCUCUCUCUUACUGCAAAUCUAUGAACCUCUCUAUAUAAGCCCACCCACCACUCAUCAUCUCUCACCCCUCCUUUACACGAAUUUAUCUAUCUGUUGUCUAAAUCCAUGUCCAAACAUCUCUUUCUUUCUCUCAUCCUUUCUUUCUCGUCUGCCAAACACUUAUAAUACAUCCUUCGCUCACCAUUUUCAUCUCUUCCUAGCUUCCAUAUAAAGAGUUAGUUAGGCUCAUAUUUGUUCGAUUUUGAGCAAAUUAAUUGGUUUUAGCCUUAGGGUUAUGCCUCCUCAUUCCUCAGGUGGUGGUGUUGAAGAAGAAACCUCAGUGAAAUGAGUGGACUAGGAAAGGAAGUUGGGUUAAAUUGGGAGCAAUAUAGCACGGCUCCAUAGUCACACACUGAAUGAGUCCAAGACAUAGGAGGCUUGGGAGGUUCGAACACUGGCACGUGAAAUGCAAGUGCCGAGUUCCUACCAUCACUGCUACGCCGGCAUCUCUUCAACUUAUUCUUCAAAAAUUUAUUUUAAUUUAUUUAUUUUUGAAGCUAGAUCUUACUACUUUUUCCUAAUUGUCUUUCCCAUACAUACUUGAACAUUUAUUAUUCAAUUUGUUUUUCAUUUUUUUUUAAUAAAAUAUGAAAACACAUACAAUUUGAUAAGCUUAAUCAAAUCAUUUUUUUUUGACAAAUCAUAGUUUGCCCCUGAAUUGCCUGAAAUCUUUUCUGUAUCACAGUUAAAAAUGAGUCUCAACUAUGAAAUUGUCCUCCUUUUGUGUCUAGUCCCUUCAACAAAUUAGAAAUUAUUUCGACAUUAUUUAAAAUGUCUGCUUUUAUUACUCUUUACAAAAAAAAAAAAAAAAGUAAUGCUAUUACAAGAGCGUUCAGGCAAUAGCACUCGCGCUCUCCAUGUUUAGCACACGAUGUCUUAUUCUUAGAAUUCCGGAGCACUAAGGAAACUGAUCUGUUAACCCUUAACCCAACUCUGUCUCCGUUAACCCUUAACCCAACUUUCUGUUUUUGCUUAACCCUCAACCCUUCUCUCUUCUUUUGCCUUUUUUCUCUGUCUAACCUUUGUCCAUCUUUCAUCUCUUUUAUAUAUAUAUAUACACGUGUAUGUCUUCUUUUGCUGCUAAGAGGAAGAAAAAAAAAUCUACUUCUACUUUAAAAUUGUUAGAUCGUGGAAAAGAAUCCAUGUUUGUAAUGGUGGUGUUGAUUUAUUGCGGUGGUUUUUUUAUUUUGAUUAUUGAUUUUUUUGUGUGUUUUGAUUGUGGUGGUUGUCGGGGUGGAGAUUGUGGCGGUGGUUUGGGGUGACCGAGUGAGGAUGGUGGUGGUUAGUGGCGGUUCAUUGACAGGAGAAAGGGAGGCCAAAAAUAAAAGGCGGUGACGUGGAAGUUUCUUAACAACGGGAUAGUUUGCGAAUGUUAUAAGAAGUAGUACAUUCAAUUUUUAAAUAGAAUAUAUUUUUGGGAUAUUAUAAAUUUGAAAUAUGAAUAAUUAUUUCGGGACGGAGGGGUACUUUUUACUAAUUGCUUUACUCAUUUAUUCGAGGAUUUCGAGGGGCAUCCUCGCCUUCUGAUCGUAUCAAAGAACACUUGAAUUUUAAAGAUGGCAUGUUUGUAAUGGUGGUGUUGAUAUUACCAUGUUUUCUAUUGUAAUUAAUGGAAAAUUUUCGAGAAAGUUUGAAGUAAGGAAAAUUUCAAUGUCACCUUUGUACGUAUGUGCCAUCUUUAUUUAUUAAUAAAGAUUAACAUUUAAGAUUUGUUAAUCUUUAUUAAUAAAUACAGAUAACACAUUCAUAUUCUUUGUGGUGUUAUGUGAUAAUUUUGAGGACGGGUGUUUCGUGGACGGGUGCGAGAGAUACUGUCAGGCUACCACACUGGCGAGUUAUAGGUGCACAGUCCCACAUCGUCUGGGUAGAGAAAAAGUGAAAUGCUUAUAUAUAACUGUGUCAUCUCCAAUUGGUAUGAGGCUUUUUGGGGUGGAGCUCAGGAGCAAAAUCGUGCGAGUUUAGGCUCAAAGAGGACAAUAUCAUACCAUGUGGUGGAAUGGAUUCUUACAAAUGGUAUCAGAGCCUGAUCCAGUCGGACCUGGGUAGAGGAAAGGUUCAAUUGAUAGUUCAAAGCAGACAAUAUCACCAUGUGGUAGAGUGGGUCGUUACAUGCUAUUUGUUAUAUUUUAAGUGGUUGCUUUUAUUGUGAGGGAAAAAAUGUAAUGGUUGGAUUUGAUUUCUUUCUAUUCUUUAUACAGUGAAAGAAGAUGAUUAGGAAAGCUUGGCAGUGCCAGUUUUUUUUUUUGGACGGUGAUGGAAACAAAAUUAAUUACUUAAACUAACUACUGAAAGUAACAGCUUGCCCUUUUGAUCCAUUUGCAGCUCUACUAAUAAGCUUACUUCAACCAUUGCAAUUUCCUGGAUUAUUGUCUAUUUUCUAUCCAGUUCACUUUCUAAAAAAUUUGAUGAAUAGAUUCAUCGUUUUUCCUUUUGGUACUCAUGAUAUUACGAAAGACAUCGACUUCUUGGAGUGUGUGAAUCAAAAUCUGUUGGUAUUCAUGAGAUACAUUGGCCGGAAACACUUAUUUUGCAUAUAUAUGAAUAUAACUUUUUUCUUUUUUCUUUUUUCUUUUACAUGAUAGACCUUAAAUCCAAAGUUCGUCCUAGAUGCAUCAUUUUUCUGGGCUGAAGUUGAAAAAGUGCAGUUCAUGGAGAAACUUGCAGAGUUGCUUUCUAUUGGGAGGUUCAAUGGUGCCGAGGUUGAAGGAAAUUUUGGUCAACUUUGUUGGUUUGAAAGAAUAAGGAACCGGGUUAAACUUUGGAGAAUUUUUAAGCGUAAUUUGAAGGAAAAUAAGUAUAGUACAGUCGAUGGGAUGAAAACAAUUUCUGGUGAGCUGCAAGGCGGUCUCACCAUUUCAAGGUUCUUUAAGAAUGUGUAUGGUCAUUCUAAUGACCCAUGGAAGAAAAUUAACUAUUGCACCAAGCAAUUAUGUUCAAUAGUAUUUGAGGAGCAACCCCGAGGAGGAGGACUACUUUUUAUCGGACUGAAAAGUUAUAACAAAUCGGUCGUAUGAUUUUUGUUUACUAUGUUUUUUAUUGUAGUUAAUGGAAAAUUUCCUAGGUGUAGAAAGUUUUAAGGUCAGGGAAAUUCCAAUGUCUCUUUGCUUAAUUGUAAAUUGUAUGAAUGUGUCAUUUGUACUUAUUAAUGAAGACAUCUGAAAAGUUGCAUACCUGCUCUUUUCUUUGUGCUGCUAUUUGAAUA